AUUCCAUUUAACUAGAAAUCUUAAAAUACAUUGGGAUUUAUUUUCAGAGUAUGCCAACCCAUCUAAAUGCUAUCUGUUCUAGGGAGGUGCAUUUGGUGCUUAUUAUAGGUGGGGCUGCUCGGUCUACCUGUUAUUAAAGUUGCUUAAUACUUCCUACUGUGAAGACCUGUUUUCAGUUGAUUGUGACUCUGAAUUUUAGCCACGUGGGCAAAAUCUUUGUAUGCCGAGUGUUUACACUGUUGGGGGGGUAAAAACAGCUGAAAAUUUAAACUUAAUUUGCUGACAUGGUGCUUUAGAAAAGCUCUGGAAUAAAUCUCACAGGAUGAGGACAAGUUAAGAAUUUAUCUUCACAUCUGGACAGGCUCCCAGGUCCUUUGCUACCCAGUUCAUUUUUUUUUUUUUUAAUAUGACAUUAUGCAAGUCUCGUUUGGCUUGUGCUUUUAGUCUUGUAGAGUGAGUAUUUGCACUCAUGACUGGCAGCAGUGAAAACAAGUCUCUUUGGUUCCAACACAAGCAGCUACAGUCCAAGCAGCGCUGCCCUUCCUUGCCGAUGCCCUGAGUGGUGACCUUGCACUCUCGAGGAAUGUCCGUGCUGGCUCGGAUCUGAGCCUGUCCUCUCCAGCUGCUGCUGGCCCUGCCAAGUCGAGAUGCGUGGUGUGGUAUGAGUUGCCUUCGCUGCAGCCGAACUGGUUCCACUCAACGGAUUUAAGGCUUCAGUGACAGAGUGCUAAGAUCACAUUCCUUACAUUUUUCUUUUGUUCUGAUAGUUUUAAAAAUGAAGUGAAUUGAAUGGGCUGCCUGGCCGGACCAGUAAGUGGGAUGGGGUAACGUUAGUGAGGGUAGGACUGGGUUUUGUGUCUGGGAAUUGUGAAGGGACUGUUUCUGGUUCCCUCCUCCUGCCCCUGCUGUGAGGGGCUAGAUGAUGGUAGCUGGGCCUCUUACUAGCAGCCCUUUCCCUCCUCUGCUUCCAUAGUGUACGUGACCCGCUAGUGCCAUGGCAUAUCAUGGACCCUGCCGUGUGACCUUCUCAAUCGCUCCAGGCCUGAGCUCUGCCACUUCGUGUUGCGAAGAUGGCGCAGUCCCCUCGUGCCCCGCUGCUGCUGGAAGACUAGAGCUUGAACGGGCGCGACGCACGCCGCUGCUGCCGCGCUGUUCCAUGCUUCAGGCAGACCAUAGGCAGUGACGCUCUC
rnacentral:lncRNA from 1 species